rnacentral:rRNA from 1 species
ACGAAGGGGGCUAGCGUUGCUCGGAAUCACUGGGCGUAAAGGGUGCGUAGGCGGAUCUUUAAGUCAGAGGUGAAAGCCUGGAGCUCAACUCCAGAACUGCCUUUGAUACUGGGGAUCUUGAGUUCGGGAGAGGUGAGUGGAACUGCGAGUGUAGAGGUGAAAUUCGUAGAUAUUCGCAAGAACACCAGUGGCGAAGGCGGCUCACUGGCCCGAUACUGACGCUGAGGCACGAAAGCGUGGGGAGCAAACAG